rnacentral:misc_RNA from 1 species
GUCAAUACAUGUUUCUCUACCAAGAAUUAUUGGCUCAUAAAUGUACAUAGCAAUGAAAUCAUUAAACAAUGAUAAGUCCCCUUGUUUGGAUAUAAAUGACUUUGGUGUUUGAAUUUCAAAAAAAUUGUCAUUGCUCAUAUCAAAUCCAAAGAUUUUAUCAUUUUGACAUGCCCUCCAAUAGUAAAAUCCAUUCAAAUAUGUGUUACCAUUUGAUUUGGCCACGUUGCGACUAGAAAAAUCCCUGAAUUCCUCAAAAGUUCUCCAGGAAUUCGUACUCAACGUAUAGACUGAAAUAAUCGUAGGAGAAUGCCAGUCUUCAGAGUCUACAUCCCAGUAAUCUCUCAUCCAAACGACUUUAUAAUCACCACUCGAGGGCUCGAUCCCGAAACCAAAUUUAUAGGAGGACAACUUAUAU